AGAGUUUGAUCCUGGCUCAGGAUGAACGCUGGCGGUCUGCUUAACACAUGCAAGUCGAACGGAGUAGAAAUACUUAGUGGCGGACGGGUGAGUAACGCGUGAGAAUCUGCCUUCAGGACGGAGACAACAGUUGGAAACGACUGCUAAGCCCCGAUGAACCGAAAGGGAAAAUAUUUAUAGCCUGAAGAUGAGCUCGCGUCCGAUUAGCUAGUUGGCGGAGUAAAAGCCCACCAAGGCGACGAUCGGUAGCUGGUCUGAGAGGACGAUCAGCCACACUGGGACUGAGACACGGCCCAGACUCCUACGGGAGGCAGCAGUGGGGAAUUUUCCGCAAUGGGCGAAAGCCUGACGGAGCAAGACCGCGUGGGGGAAGAAGGCUCUUGGGUUGUAAACCCCUUUUCUCUGGGAAGAAAGUUGUGAAAGCAACCUGACGGUACCAGAGGAAUCAGCAUCGGCUAACUCCGGGCCAGCAGCCGCGGUAAUACGGAGGAUGCAAGCGUUAUCCGGAAUGAUUGGGCGUAAAGCGUCCGCAGGUGGCAAUUCAAGUCUGCUGUUAAAGGUCGGGGCUCAACCCCGAAAUGGCGGUGGAAACUGAAUAGCUAGAGUGCGGUGGGGGCAGAGGGAAUUCCUGGUGUAGCGGUGAAAUGCGUAGAGAUCAGGAAGAACACCGGUGGCGAAAGCGCUCUGCUAGGCCGCAACUGACACUCAUGGACGAAAGCUAGGGGAGCGAAUGGGAUUAGAUACCCCUGUAGUCC
rnacentral:rRNA from 1 species